rnacentral:miRNA from 1 species
CUUUGAAGCUUUGAAGCCAGGCAUUGACUUCUCUCUAGCUAGGAAAGUCCUAGAUGGCAUGUUCUUCCAUUAGAAGACUGUUUCAUCUACAUUGAU